AAAUAUAUAAUUUUAUCAUUUUGAAGGAAUAAAUAUGCAAUUAAUCCUAAUUUCUAUAUCUAUAGAGGCGAGAUGUUAUACUUUCGAAGCUACGGAGGUCUCCGUAUUUUUAAAUUAUUUUUAAGGAAAAACUUCAAAAACCCUUCUGUGGUUUCGCACUUUCUCACUUUAGUACCAGUGGUUUAAAGCAUAUCAAUUUGCCCCCCUGUGGUUUCGUUUUUCUCUUUUUAGUAUCAAUUUUAUUUUAUUUAUUCCUUAAAUCAGUGACAAAGUUAAAAUUAAAGGAUAUUAAAGUAAAUAUUCGAUAAAUUUAGAUGGAUAUCUGAAGUUUUUUUUAUAUAAUUUAACAAAAUAUUAAGAAAAAAGUUGCCGAAAAGAUAAAAACAAAACCACAGGGACAGAAAGGGCAAAUCGAUACACUUUAAACCACAUGAUAUUAAAGUGAGAAAGUGCGAAACCACGGGCUUUUCUUGAAGUUUUUCCUAUUUUUA
rnacentral:lncRNA from 1 species